GCCAGGCAUGGUUGUGCAUGCCUGUGGUCCCAGCUACUUGGGAGGCUGAGGCAGGGGGAUCAUCUGAGCCCAGGAGUUCAAGGCUGCAAUGAGCUAUGUUUGCGCCACUGCACUCCAGCCUGGGCAACAGAGUGAGACUCUGUCUCUA
ensembl:misc_RNA Metazoa_SRP Metazoan signal recognition particle RNA